rnacentral:rRNA from 1 species
GCCAGACUCCUACGGGAGGCAGCAGUGAGGAAUAUUGGUCAAUGGCCGAGAGGCUGAACCAGCCAAGUCGCGUGAGGGAUGACGGCCCUACGGGUUGUAAACCUCUUUUGCCGGGGAGCAAAGAGCGGGACGCGUCCCGCCUCGAGAGUACCCGGAGAAAAAGCAUCGGCUAACUCCGUGCCAGCAGCCGCGGUAAUACGGAGGAUGCGAGCGUUAUCCGGAUUUAUUGGGUUUAAAGGGUGCGCAGGCGGCACGGCAAGCCGGCGGUCAAAUCGCAGGGCUCAACCCCGCCCAGCCGUCGGAACUGCCGGACUAGAGUGGGCGAGAAGUGCGCGGAAUGCGUGGUGUAGCGGUGAAAUGCAUAGAUAUCACGCAGAACUCCGAUUGCGAGGGCAGCGCACCGGCGCCCUACUGACGCUCAGGCACGAAAGCGUGGGUAUCGAACAGGAUUAGAUACCCCAGUAUG